GACAGAGGGUGCAAACGUUGUUCGGAAUUACUGGGCGUAAAGCGUGUGUAGGCGGCCAGCUAGGUCUGCUGUGAAAACUCGAGGCUCAACCUCGAGAUGUCGGCGGAAACCAUUUGGCUAGAGUCCGGAAGAGGAAAGUGGAAUUCCUGGUGUAGCGGUGAAAUGCGCAGAUAUCAGGAAGAACACCCGUGGCGAAGGCGGCUUUCUGGGACGGUACUGACGCUGAGACGCGAAAGCGUGGGGAGCGAACAGG
rnacentral:rRNA from 1 species